rnacentral:rRNA from 1 species
UACGUAGGUGACCAGCGUUGUCCGGAUUUACUGGGCGUAAAGAGCGCGCAGGCGGUCGUUCAAGUCGAGUGUGAAAGCCCCCGGCUCAACUGGGGAGGGUCACUCGAUACUGAUCGACUUGAAGGCAGGAGAGGGAAGCGGAAUUCCUGGUGUAGCGGUGAAAUGCGCAGAUAUCAGGAGGAACACCGAUGGCGAAGGCAGGUCUCUGGGCCAUAACUGACGCUGAGAAGCGAAAGCAUGGGGAGCGAACAGG